GAUGAACGCUAGCGGCGUGCCUAAUACAUGCAAGUCGAGCGAACAGACGAGGAGCUUGCUCCUCUGACGUUAGCGGCGGACGGGUGAGUAACACGUGGAUAACCUACCUAUAAGACUGGGAUAACUUCGGGAAACCGGAGCUAAUACCGGAUAACAUGUUGAACCGCAUGGUUCAACAGUGAAAGACGGUCUUGCUGUCACUUAUAGAUGGAUCCGCGCCGCAUUAGCUAGUUGGUAAGGUAACGGCUUACCAAGGCAACGAUGCGUAGCCGACCUGAGAGGGUGAUCGGCCACACUGGAACUGAGACACGGUCCAGACUCCUACGGGAGGCAGCAGUAGGGAAUCUUCCGCAAUGGGCGAAAGCCUGACGGAGCAACGCCGCGUGAGUGAAGAAGGUCUUCGGAUCGUAAAACUCUGUUAUUAGGGAAGAACAAAUGUGUAAGUAACUAUGCACGUCUUGACGGUACCUAAUCAGAAAGCCACGGCUAACUACGUG
rnacentral:rRNA from 1 species